CGACCGGCAAACGGGUGCGGAACACGUACGCAACCUUCCUUAAAGUGGGGGAUAGCCCAGAGAAAUUUGGAUUAAUACCCCGUAAUAUUAUUGAAUGGCAUCAUUUAAUAAUUAAAGCUCCGGCGCUUAGAGAUGGGUGUGCGUCUGAUUAGGUAGUUGGUGAGGGUAACGGCCCACCAAGCCUGCGAUCAGUAACUGGUGUGAGAGCACGACCAGUCACACGGGCACUGAGACACGGGCCCGACUCCUACGGGAGGCAGCAGUAAGGAAUAUUGGUCAAUGGACGCAAGUCUGAACCAGCCAUGCCGCGUGGAGGAUGAAGGUCCUCUGGAUUGUAAACUUCUUUUAUCUGGGAAGAAAUGCCAGAAUUCUUUUCGGUUUGACGGUACCAGAUGAAUAAGCACCGGCUAACUCCGUGCCAGCAGCCGCGGUAAUACGGAGGGUGCAAGCGUUAUCCGGAUUCACUGGGUUUAAAGGGUGCGUAGGUGGGCAGUUAAGUCAGUGGUGAAAUCUCCGGGCUUAACCCGGAAACUGCCAUUGAUACUAUCUGUCUUGAAUACCGUGGAGGUGAGCGGAAUAUGUCAUGUAGCGGUGAAAUGCUUAGAUAUGACAUAGAACACCAAUUGCGAAGGCAGCUCACUACCCGUGUUAUUGACACUGAGGCACGAAAGCGUGGGGAUCAAACAGGAUUAGAUACCCUGGUAGUCCACGCC
rnacentral:rRNA from 1 species